rnacentral:tRNA from 1 species
CGGAUAGUAGUUCAGUCCGGUAGAAUGCGGCAUUUGGGAUGCUGUGGUCGUCGGUUCGAAUCCGGCCUAUCCGA